CGCACUCCUGCCACCAGCCCUGUGUCCUCCAGGACGGAAGAGACAAGGAGAUCCUGGAGCCAGCCGUGGCUGGAGCACACAGCCCGCUUGGAGAUGGGCGAGUCACAGCCAGGCUGUUCUCAGAGAGAGACUGGCCAAAGGUCAACGGCGACUAGACACAGCAGGGCCAGAUAAGACCCAGGCUCCCACGUAUCCAGAAACACACCUGUUCCUCCAGUGCAAAGAGUCUACAGAUUCCCACCUUUUGUGGCCCCAGCUGUGGAAACAAGACCUGGGGGAGGCUGGUGGAAGGGCAAGACAGCCCCGUGGCCGAGAUGCUGGCCAAGCUCCAGGCAAGAUCAGCUGCCUGGGUGAGGCACACGGGCUCUCCAAAGCACUGCUGACAGCACUUCCCCCACAGGACUGCAACAGCAGAUCAAUCAAAACAAGAAAGGGAAACUCAUGUUCAUUCCAAUAACUGAUUAGUGAUAGCUUCAUACAACCAUUUCAUCCUUACACCUCACUUUAAACCAACUCCCUUUUGCUCCAUACUUUCUGCUUUGCAGAGGAGCAGCACCCAGAGGGAAGGCAACACUGGCUUUUUUAGCUGAUGCAGUAGGGACUGCUUCAGGUAAAGUAAUUUAAAUAAGCCUUCUGAUUUCUUCAUGGUGUCAGAGUUUGUUUCAUUUUUCACGUGGCUUCAGGACCAGAAUUACUUCCAUUUACUUUACUUUUCUCUCUUGCCUCGAUCCUGUACCUAAGGCUGUCUCAGUGUGUACCUUGCAGCUGGCUCCCAGCUUUAACACUAACUGCGAUUUUGUUAAAUACAUCUGGCACUGUUUUGAAGUAGUAAUGUAAUGAUUGGCAAACUUUUGUGGAUAAAACAAACCCCAGUACUUCAUUUAAUUGUGCCCCAGGGAUCUUUUCCUGCCCAUAUGUGCAGCGCACACAAGGAACCACCUCUUGAUGGUGGUCUGAUCAUGAGCUUCUUAAAUGCAUGACACCAGCUCGCUUAAAAAUUUUAAAAAUAGAGGAGUUUGAACAAGAACUCCAAAAUCUUCACAUCAAACUCCAGUCAGAUACAAAUAAAUAAAUAAAACCCUGCACAUACAUACACACACACACACUUUCCUUCUGCCUUGUUUAAUUCUUGUCUUCAGUAGAUGCAGAAAUGGAUGAACACAGACUGUGAACCUGGAUUCUAAAUGCAGGUAUUUCUUAGAUAAUUUGAGUAUUUUUCAUUUUGAAAAAUCGAAUCUAAAUGAAGCAUUUACCAUCCUUACGAAGUGGCCUGCAUUUAUCCAUAUGUAUAAAGGAGAUGUAUGUGUAUCUUGCCACAAGCAUGUAGUACAAGCAAUUAAGCCCUUGAUAAUAAAUGGUUCAUCAGUCCGCAGGUGAUGUACAAUAAGUGAUUGCUCCUGCAGGUAGUAAUCAUCUGCUGCAAUUGCUGAAUUAUAAAUUCCCUCUGGGCUGAUUGGAUUUUAUCAGGAAGCCACAAAGUAAAAAAGGGCUUAGGGUGAGGUUUUUUAUAGUCUGAAACCUAAUAUUAGAAAUUUGCCAGUUGGAAAGGAGGGCCUUUCCUUUGAAGACAUGCUCACAGUGUCUGAACAGCUGUCAGAAAAAUGUAACCUUGUUCAGAAUGGCCUCUGGGACCAGAGUAUAUUCCAAGGCAAAGAUUAAAUUAAAAGGGUUUCUCCCACCUCCACAAAAAUAUAUGCAACUCUCAUGCACACAGAAACUGUUUUCCCAUUGGCAGAGAAACAUUCCAUAAAUCUAUAUAGGGACUAAAAUAACAUGAUCACACUUAAAUUCAAACACAAGAGCUAGUUACUAUUAUCAUUUGGACAUUCUGUCAGUAAAAUUUAUGAAAUAUAUAUGGAAAUACUAUUUGUGAGACCACCAGUUCCCCUUUUAGGAACCUGAAGGACUUCUACGUAUAUUAAAUUUAGACCACUGUUGAAAAUGGAAAAGAAGUUUUAAGUUUUAAUGAAAGCCUUACCUGUUAAAUAUACCCUCCUUUUUUCUGUUUUACUUUAUUUCAUUUUGUCACAUUAGUUUUCUUUUAUCAAAUAUCAAAGCAGUAAAUAAAGCAGUGAAAAAUACUACCCAUCAAAAAUAAAUCUAAUCCACAAAAUCAAAAAGCUCUCUAAACCAUCUAACAU
rnacentral:lncRNA from 13 species